UACAGAGGUCUCAAGCGUUGUUCGGAUUCAUUGGGCGUAAAGGGCUCGUAGGCGGCUCAGUAAGUCGGGUGUGAAACCUCCAGGCUCAACCUGGAGACGCCACUCGAUACUGCUGUGGCUAGAGUCCGGUAGGGGAGCAUGGAAUUCCUGGUGUAGCGGUGAAAUGCGCAGAUAUCAGGAGGAACACCAGUGGCGAAGGCGGUGCUCUGGGCCGGAACUGACGCUGAUGAGCGAAAGCGUGGGGAGCAAACAGG
rnacentral:rRNA from 1 species